rnacentral:rRNA from 1 species
CUACGGGUCGCAGCAGUGGGGAAUAUUGGACAAUGGGGGAAACCCUGAUGCAGCAACGCCGCGUGGAGGAUGACACUUUUCGGAGCGUAAACUCCUUUUAUAUAGGAAGAAGAUGACGGUACUAUAUGAAUAAGCGCCGGCUAACUCCGUGCCAGCAGCCGCAGUAAUACGGAGGGCGCAAGCGUUACUCGGAAUCACUGGGCGUAAAGAGCGUGUAGGCGGAUUAAAAAGUCAGAAGUGAAAUCCUAUAGCUUAACUAUAGAACUGCUUCUGAAACUCUUAAUCUAGAAUAUGGGAGAGGUAGAUGGAAUUUCUGGUGUAGGGGUAAAAUCCGUAGAGAUCAGAAGGAAUACCGAUUGCGAAGGCGAUCUACUAGAACAUUAUUGACGCUGAGACGCGAAAGCGUGGGGAGCAAACAGGAUUAGAUACCCUAGUAGUC